UACGUAGGGGGCAAGCGUUGUCCGGAAUUAUUGGGCGUAAAGCGCGUGUAGGCGGCUCGGUAAGUCUGCUGUGAAAGUCUAGGGCUCAACCCUGGAAUGCCGGUGGAUACUGUCGAGCUAGAGUCCGGAAGAGGCGAGUGGAAUUCCUGGUGUAGCGGUGAAAUGCGCAGAUAUCAGGAGGAACACCAAUGGCGAAGGCAGCUCGCUGGGACGGUACUGACGCUGAGGCGCGACAGCGUGGGGAUCAAACAGG
rnacentral:rRNA from 1 species